AUUGAACGCUGGCGGCAUGCUUUACACAUGCAAGUCGGACGGCAGCACAGAGAAGCUUGCUUCUUGGGUGGCGAGUGGCGAACGGGUGAGUAAUAUAUCGGAACGUACCGAGUAAUGGGGGAUAACUAAUCGAAAGAUUAGCUAAUACCGCAUAUUCUCUGAGGAGGAAAGCAGGGGACCUUCGGGCCUUGCGUUAUUCGAGCGGCCGAUAUCUGAUUAGCUAGUUGGUGGGGUAAAGGCCUACCAAGGCGACGAUCAGUAGCGGGUCUGAGAGGAUGAUCCGCCACACUGGGACUGAGACACGGCCCAGACUCCUACGGGAGGCAGCAGUGGGGAAUUUUGGACAAUGGGCGCAAGCCUGAUCCAGCCAUGCCGCGUGUCUGAAGAAGGCCUUCGGGUUGUAAAGGACUUUUGUCAGGGAAGAAAAGGCUGUUGCUAAUACCGACAGCUGAUGACGGUACCUGAAGAAUAAGCACCGGUUAACUACUUGCCAGCAGCCUCGGUAUACGUAGGGUGCUAGCGUUAAUCUUAUUACUGGGCGUAAAGUUUGCGCGUACGGUGACUUAAGCAGGGUGUGAAUGCCUGGGUGUCUCCCUGGGAACUGCGGUUCUGGACUGGGUGAAUAGUGUUGUGUUGAGGGACGUUGUGAUUUGGUUUGUUGGGUGGAAUGGGUUGAUUUGUGAAGGGAUUCCGGUGUUAGACUUUUUUCUUGUUUGUUUUACUGUUUCUGUUUUUGUGUGCAUGGCGUUGUUGCGAUGGCUGCUGUGUCUUGAUUGUGCUGUGUGUGUGCUCGUCUGUGUGGAUUCGCGGUGGUGUCGCUGGUGCUUGGGUGUGAAAAAGAAAAAAUGAAUGUGAUGGUUUUUUGUGUGGUUGUGUGUGUGUUUGAUAGUCUGUUA
rnacentral:rRNA from 1 species